ACCAAACCGCCGUCGCUCGCCUCGUCUUCUCUUGUGCCUACUUUUGUUGAAGGCCCGCAGCAAAAACCGACCACUGCGGUGUCCGAAAACCCUACUGCUUCUCCACCUCACUCCCUUGCCGAUGGCCCGUAGGCGGAGCGAGAUCGACGGUUGCGACGGCAUUCCUGACGAGGUAUCUCGAAGCGAUUUCCCUGAAGAUUUCGUUUUCGGCGUCGCCACCUCCGCUUACCAGGUUGAAGGAGCAAGAAGAGAGGAUGGAAAAGGUGAUAGUAUUUGGGAUAUUUUCUCAGAAGAAAAAGGGAAUAUAAAGGAUGGGAGCAAUGGAGAAAUUGCAGUAAAUCAGUACCAUCGCUAUAAGGAAGAUGUGGAGCUUAUGGCCAAGUUAGGUUUUGGUGCUUAUCGAUUUUCCAUAUCUUGGUCUCGUAUAUUCCCUGAUGGAUUAGGAACUAAGAUCAGCGAGAAUGGGGUUGCUUAUUAUAACAAUUUGAUCAAUUUCCUACUAGAAAAAGGUAUACAGCCUUAUGUGACACUAUAUCAUUGGGAUCUUCCAUAUUUUCUUCAUGAGUCCAUAGGAGGAUGGCUAUCAGAGAAGAUUGUACACUAUUUUUCAUUAUAUGCCGAAGCUUGUUUUACAAAGUUUGGAGACAGAGUGAAGCACUGGAUUACAAUCAAUGAACCUCUUCAAACAGCUGUAAAUGGAUAUGGUUGUGGAAUCUUUGCUCCUGGAAGACGUGAAAAUUCAUCUGUGGAACCUUAUCUGGCUGCUCACCACCAAAUUUUGGCUCAUGCAGCUGCUGUUUCUGUUUAUAGGAAGAAAUUUAAGGCUGAACAAGGUGGUGAAAUAGGCAUUGCAGUUGAUUGUGAAUGGGCAGAAGCAUAUUCUGAUAAGUUGGAAGAUAAAAUUGCUGCUGAUAGGCGGUUGGAUUUCCAACUUGGAUGGUUUUUGGAUCCAAUAUAUUAUGGAGACUACCCCUUGGUUAUGCGUGAGAGGCUAGGAGAUCGGCUUCCCAAAUUUUCAGAGGCAGAAAAGGAGUUACUGCAGAAUGCAAUUGACUUCGUUGGUCUGAACCAUUAUACAACCAGAUUCAUUGCUCAUGUAGAAAACCCAGGAGAUAUCCAUUUCUAUCAAGUACAACAAAUGGAGAGGAUAGAGAAAUGGCAAUGCGGGGAGGCGAUUGGUGAAAGGGCUGCAUCAGACUGGCUUUAUGUAGUUCCUUGGGGCAUCCGGAAGGUUCUUAACUACAUAGCAAUCAAUUACCACAAUCCUCCAAUUUAUGUUACUGAGAAUGGCAUGGAUCAAGAAGAAUCCGAAACAGCAAUUCUUGAGGAGGUCCUAGAUGAUAAACUGAGAGUGGAAUACUUUAAGAGUUACCUUGCAGCUGUUGCACAAGCAAUCAGGGAUGGAGCCGAUGUACGUGGAUACUUUGCAUGGUCAUUCUUGGACAAUUUUGAGUGGGCCCAAGGAUAUACUAAAAGGUUUGGGCUGGUUUAUGUUGACUAUAAAAAUGGUCUUGCUAGGUAUCCAAAAUCAUCAGCCCUAUGGUUUUCACACUUCUUGAAGUCUAGUGAGGAAGAUGUUGGCAAGCAGGUCAAUCAAGCCUGAUAUGAAGCUAAGGUGCAUUCUCAUGUCUGCCUUCAUGCGCAUACCGUCCCAUCUAGUUUUGCUCUUUGGCUUACAUGGAUACUUUUAAAUCCAACCAAAAUCACUUGUGUAAAAGAAGUUUGAUAAUGAGGCUGAGGCUAAAUGUCCAGUGGUGGGUGGACUCUUACGACCUAAACAUUCAUCACAAGACUAGAAGCUCGUAUGUUAAAAAGAUCUAUAACCCACUUCCUCUUGGUCAACUAUCUUCCCCAGAUGCAUAUAGAUGGUGGCUUGUGCUGCUAAUUUCUGUGCAUUUAGUGGUCAUUCUAAAGGAUCCUUGGAAACUUCGAAAUGAGGGCAUGGUAGAAGGCUUAGGAACUAUUCUGAGUUGAGAUGCACUACACUCCUCCAAUGGCUUCUCAAAAGAAUACUUUUUCUCUGCUAUAUUACCCUUUAUUUUUCCUGAAUUCUAACAAGGUAUUGGUGUGAUCGACAGCCGCAAAUGUUCUCAGUACUUCUUUUGGACUCCAAUCUGCCUCAUCUUGCAGUGACAUCCAAAGCGACGUGGUUCGUUGCAAUCCAUAACACUCCACUACUUCCUCACCUCAAAUCGUCUACCCUCGUCUUUCUUCCCAUUUAUUUGGGCGAGCGCAAUAUCAAUUAAUAUAGAUGAGAAGAUUACUAUAUAUAGUUCUUUUUAUUAUUUAUAAUUUUAUUUUUUAAACUUUUUUUAAUAUUUCUAAAUUGUCCUUUAUAUAUAUAUAUAUAUAUAUAUAUAAUUUUUCUUCUUCCUUCUCCUCUUUUUCUUUCUCCUUGAUAGUGAGCGUCGUUGAUGGUAUGGGUAAAGAGUGAGAUGAACUAAAAAUGAUAAUAUUAUGAUUAUAAAUAAUAAAAUAAUAUUUUUAUUAUUUUGAAGGGAUUAUCAAUAGUAAGGGAUUGUAAUUUGUAAGAUUCUAUAAAUUAUAGUCACAUUUUUUUUUACA